rnacentral:rRNA from 1 species
AUGAUCUUACCCAAGGAUAUGGGGGGCAUGGGUUUUAGAGAUAUGAGGGCGUUUAACCGGGCGCUUCUUGCAAAACAAGCCUGGAGGUUGCUUGAAAGUCCUGAUACUUUAUGUGCUCGUUUGGUACGAGCUAAAUAUUAUCCCAAUGGGAAUCUGCUUGAUACACUCUUCCCUUCUGGUUCGUCUGUUGUAUGGAAGGGAAUCAUGUACGGUCUC